rnacentral:rRNA from 1 species
CCAGCAGCUGCGGUAAUUCCAGCUCCAAUAGCGUAUAUUAAAGUUGCUGCAGUUAAAAAGCUCGUAGUUGGAUCUCGGGUGCAGGCUUGCGGUCCGCCUCGCGGCGGUCACUGCUCGCCCUGACCUCCGGGCCGGUGUCUCCGUCCCUUGGUGCUCUUGACUGAGUGUCUCGGGCGGCCGGUACGUUUACUUUGAAGAAAUUAGAGUGCUCAAAGCAGGCCCUUGCCGCCUGAAUAAUGGUGCAUGGAAUAAUGGAAUAGGACCUCGGUUCUAUUUUGUUGGCUCUCGGAGCUCGAGGUAAUGAUUAAUAGGGACUGACGGGGGCAUUCGUAUUGCGGCGACAGAGGUGAAAUUCUUGGACCGUCGCAAGACGAACUACAGCGAAAGCAUUUGCCAAGCAUGUUUUCA